GAUGAACGCUGGCGGCGUGCCUAAUACAUGCAAGUCGAGCGAACGGACGAGAAGCUUGCUUCUCUGAUGUUAGCGGCGGACGGGUGAGUAACACGUGGAUAACCUACCUAUAAGACUGGGAUAACUUCGGGAAACCGGAGCUAAUACCGGAUAAUAUUUUGAACCGCAUGGUUCAAAAGUGAAAGACGGUCUUGCUGUCACUUAUAGAUGGAUCCGCGCUGCAUUAGCUAGUUGGUAAGGUAACGGCUUACCAAGGCAACGAUGCAUAGCCGACCUGAGAGGGUGAUCGGCCACACUGGAACUGAGACACGGUCCAGACUCCUACGGGAGGCAGCAGUAGGGAAUCUUCCGCAAUGGGCGAAAGCCUGACGGAGCAACGCCGCGUGAGUGAUGAAGGUCUUCGGAUCGUAAAACUCUGUUAUUAGGGAAGAACAUAUGUGUAAGUAACUGUGCACAUCUUGACGGUACCUAAUCAGAAAGCCACGGCUAACUACGUGCCAGCAGCCGCGGUAAUACGUAGGUGGCAAGCGUUAUCCGGAAUUAUUGGGCGUAAAGCGCGCGUAGGCGGUUUUUUAAGUCUGAUGUGAAAGCCCACGGCUCAACCGUGGAGGGUCAUUGGAAACUGGAAAACUUGAGUGCAGAAGAGGAAAGUGGAAUUCCAUGUGUAGCGGUGAAAUGCGCAGAGAUAUGGAGGAACACCAGUGGCGAAGGCGACUUUCUGGUCUGUAACUGACGCUGAUGUGCGAAAGCGUGGGGAUCAAACAGGAUUAGAUACCCUGGUAGUCCACGCCGUAAACGAUGAGUGCUAAGUGUUAGGGGGUUUCCGCCCCUUAGUGCUGCAGCUAACGCAUUAAGCACUCCGCCUGGGGAGUACGACCGCAAGGUUGAAACUCAAAGGAAUUGACGGGGACCCGCACAAGCGGUGGAGCAUGUGGUUUAAUUCGAAGCAACGCGAAGAACCUUACCAAAUCUUGACAUCCUUUGACAACUCUAGAGAUAGAGCCUUCCCCUUCGGGGGACAAAGUGACAGGUGGUGCAUGGUUGUCGUCAGCUCGUGUCGUGAGAUGUUGGGUUAAGUCCCGCAACGAGCGCAACCCUUAAGCUUAGUUGCCAUCAUUAAGUUGGGCACUCUAAGUUGACUGCCGGUGACAAACCGGAGGAAGGUGGGGAUGACGUCAAAUCAUCAUGCCCCUUAUGAUUUGGGCUACACACGUGCUACAAUGGACAAUACAAAGGGCAGCGAAACCGCGAGGUCAAGCAAAUCCCAUAAAGUCGUUCUCAGUUCGGAUUGUAGUCUGCAACUCGACUACAUGAAGCUGGAAUCGCUAGUAAUCGUAGAUCAGCAUGCUACGGUGAAUACGUUCCCGGGUCU
rnacentral:rRNA from 1 species